AAGAAACUCCAGAGCCUACUCCAAGAUGCUUGUGGUCCUGCUGACAGUGGCCUUGCUGGCCCUGAGUUCAGCUCAGAGCUCAAGUGAAGUUCUCGUCCACUGCUGAGAGAUGGCUCCCAAGUGAAAAGUGAAAUGAGAAAAUAACAUUCAAAAGUUAUGUCACUCAAGCUGUGGAUGGUGCUGUGCAUUUUUCAUCCCAACACUCAAGACUAAAUUC